rnacentral:rRNA from 1 species
ACGAACGCUGGCGGCGUGCCUAAUACAUGCAAGUUGAGCGCUGAAGGUUGGUACUUGUACCAACUGGAUGAGCAGCGAACGGGUGAGUAACGCGUGGGGAAUCUGCCUUUGAGCGGGGGACAACAUUUGGAAACGAAUGCUAAUACCGCAUAAAAACUUUAAACACAAGUUUUAAGUUUGAAAGAUGCAAUUGCAUCACUCAAAGAUGAUCCCGCGUUGUAUUAGCUGGUUGGUGAGGUAAAGGCUCACCAAGGCGAUGAUACAUAGCCGACCUGAGAGGGUGAUCGGCCACAUUGGGACUGAGACACGGCCCAAACUCCUACGGGAGGCAGCAGUAGGGAAUCUUCGGCAAUGGACGAAAGUCUGACCGAGCAACGCCGCGUGAGUGAAGAAGGUUUUCGGAUCGUAAAACUCUGUUGGUAGAGAAGAACGUUGGUGAGAGUGGAAAGCUCAUCAAGUGACGGUAACUACCCAGAAAGGGACGGCUAACUACGUG